rnacentral:rRNA from 1 species
UACGAGGGGGGCAAAUGUUGUUCGGAAUCACUGGGCGUAAAGGGAGCGUAGGCGGGUGUUUAAGUUAGGUGUUUAAUCCCAGGGCCCAACCCUGGUCAGGCACCUAAAACUGGGAGUCUUGAAUAGUGGAGAGGACGAUGGAAUUGGGGGUGUAGCGGUGGAAUGCGUAGAGAUCCCCAAGAACACCAGUUGCGAAGGCGGUCGUCUGGACACAUAUUGACGCUGAGGCUCGAAAGCAUGGGGAGCAAACAGG